CAUCCCUUGAAGCAGCUAGAGAUAGCUGUGUCCUUCGGGACAAGGAGACAGGUGUGCAUGGUUGUCGUCAGCUCGUGUCGUGAGAUGUUGGGUUAGGUCCCGCAACGAGCGCAACCCCUAUUGUUAGUUGCCAUCAUUCAGUUGGGCACUCUAGCGAGACUGCCGGUAAUAAACCGGAGGAAGUGGGGAUGACGUCAAAUCAUCAUGCCCCUUAUGACCUGGGCUACACACGUGCUACAAUGGUUGGUACAACGAGUUGCGAGUCGGUGACGGCGAGCUAAUCUCUUAAAGCCAAUCUCAGUUCGGAUUGUAGGCUGCAACUCGCCUACAUGAAGUCGGAAUCGCUAGUAAUCGCGGAUCAGCACGCCGCGGUGAAUACGGUUCCCGGGCCUU
rnacentral:rRNA from 1 species